UACGAAGGGGGCUAGCGUUGUUCGGAAUUACUGGGCGUAAAGCGCGUGUAGGCGGGUCUUUAAGUCAGGGGUGAAAUGCCAAGGCUCAACCUUGGAACUGCCUUUGAUACUGGAGAUCUUGAGUCCGGGAGAGGUGAGUGGAAUUGCGAGUGUAGAGGUGAAAUUCGUAGAUAUUCGCAAGAACACCAGUGGCGAAGGCGGCUCACUGGCCCGGAACUGACGCUGAGACGCGAAAGCGUGGGUAGCAAACAGG
rnacentral:rRNA from 1 species